UCAGGUGAUCCUCCCAUCUCAGCCUCCCAAGUAGCUGGGACUACAGGUUGCUUCUUCCAGAUCCCUUUUGAUCUAUUUUCAGCUAUGGAUUCAUGAGAAUCAAGACUAAGCAGCCUGAAUUGAAGGAGUAACAGUAUCACCUAACAAUGAUUUUGCUGCCAUAGUAGCUGUUUGUAUACUGGCCAUAUGCCUAGGUAAAAUGAGGCCAGAUCACUCUCAGAGUUUUCUAUCAGAGUUGGUGGCGAACUACUGCUCACUGAUAAUGAGGUGAAACCCCAGCUGAGGAGGCAAAUAUACUCAAGGAAAGUAAUAGUUUCCAAAUGCCUGGCAGUGCCAGGAAGGGGCCAUGUCCAUGGACCACUAUGUAAGGAUAUCUCAGUCUCUAGUCCAGCGUGGUUUAUGGUGCCAAAUAAGUGCCAGGUGAACUCACUACAUCUGACAAAAUCUCAAGGAACCAAGUUUACCAGAUAAUAUUUAUGAUUAUGUGAAAAAGACUGAGGAAAUCACUCAAGUGAUCCAUCAUACAGCACCUCCAGUUCCAAAGAAUACUGACUUACUUCAGGUGAUAACACUCUACCAUUUUUAAGUUUUUCAUCCACACUGUGUCUUCGUUUCUGGAGCUGAUCCUUUUCUUUCUGGAGGACUUCAACUUGUUCUGAAAUCUUUGUUUUCUCCUCAGCUGUACUGGUCUGGAGCUGCACAUUCUUUUCAGACAACUCUUGUUCCAGUAAGUUCAGGUGACUCUUCUCCUGUAACAGAGCCUCCUUCUUAGAAACUAUGGCCUCCCGUUUCUUUAAGUCUGCUUCCAGCUCCUCUAAUUCUUGGCGUUGGU
rnacentral:antisense_RNA from 1 species